GUAAAACCAUGCAGUGGGGAAAACAAAAACCGUUAAGUUAUCAGUAUCAAGGAUAGAAAUAUAUAGCUCGAUAGAGCAUAUUCAGAAGCUGCCAAAAAAUUAUUAGAGAUAUUCAUGAAGGAAAAUGAUCUAAUGGAUAAACUACGUAGUGUAAAGAGUUAUUUCUUUCAUUGCUCAAGGAGAUUUUGUGCGCGCGUUAUCGGCGUGGGAUCACGGCGGGGCAGGUGGGUGAACGCUGCCGCUACCGCGCCGUUCGUGCAGUGUUUCAAUUUCGGAAUUUCGAGUACGCUGUUGGGGCAACCACGGGCAUUAAGGCGAUACUGUAGUUACAGUCGGCUCGGCUAUGUAACGCGCGACAUAACGCUUGGCGUGUCGGCCGGCAAUCGAGUAUAUUAGAAAGUUGUUUGCUCUUUAUGACCCGGCGAGUCCAGUGAGGGUAAAGGGGCACGUUCAGAGUAAUUUGGCGAAGAGGUACGUAUUUAAUGUAAAAACCACCGAGUCGCCAAUUCGGAUGUUUCUUGGUAUUGCUUUUGGUUAGUGAAAAUUUAUUUUUAUAUAAUUU
rnacentral:lncRNA from 13 species